AACGAACGCUGGCGGCAUGCCUAACACAUGCAAGUCGAACGAAGCCUUCGGGCUUAGUGGCGCACGGGUGCGUAACGCGUGGGAAUCUGCCCUUGGGUUCGGAAUAACAGUUAGAAAUGACUGCUAAUACCGGAUGAUGUCUUCGGACCAAAGAUUUAUCGCCCAAGGAUGAGCCCGCGUCGGAUUAGCUAGUUGGUGAGGUAAAGGCUCACCAAGGCGACGAUCCGUAGCUGGUCUGAGAGGAUGAUCAGCCACACUGGGACUGAGACACGGCCCAGACUCCUACGGGAGGCAGCAGUGGGGAAUAUUGGACAAUGGGCGAAAGCCUGAUCCAGCAAUGCCGCGUGAGUAAUGAAGGCCUUAGGGUCGUAAAGCUCUUUUACCCGGGAUGAUAAUGACAGUACCGGGAGAAUAAGCCCCGGCUAACUCCGUG
rnacentral:rRNA from 1 species